UGGAUUAGUGGCGAACGGGUGAGUAACACGUGAGUAACCUGCCCUUAACUCUGGGAUAAGCCUGGGAAACUAGGUCUAAUACCGGAUAGGAGCGCCUACCGCAUGGUGGGUGUUGGAAAGAUUUAUCGGUUUUGGAUGGACUCGCGGCCUAUCAGCUUGUUGGUGAGGUAAUGGCUCACCAAGGCGACGACGGGUAGCCGGCCUGAGAGGGUGACCGGCCACACUGGGACUGAGACACGGCCCAG
rnacentral:rRNA from 1 species